UAAAGAAAACAAACUUUUUAAUGACAUCAAAUUAAAGACAUGAGAAUGAAGACAAAAUGUUUAGGUCCAACAGCAGAACCUGACUCCUCAUAGAACAGUCAUUUUCAUCAGGGUGAGCUCUCAGGUCCACCUGGAUCUCUGUCUGUCACGUCUAUAAUGGCUUUAUGUUCCCCUUGGCUUUUUCAAUAAUAAUGUGCUUCAGUUCUUAUUUGGCAAAAGUCCAUCAAACACAAACACUAGGAAGAAAAAUAUGAAAAAAAAAAAGCUGGUCAGAGAAAGUAAAGGCUACCGUUUGAUCCAGUCUGAAGGUUUGAGUUGAGUUUCUGUUUGAAACAUCACAAAAACAACAAAAAAACCAUCAUGGACAGAACAUUGCUAUAAUCCUUAAAUUAUUCUAACAGUCUCAAAGAGAACCUUCUCCUUGUUCUGUGGAAUGUUCUGGACACUUUAACCCUCACAGUCUGAAGUUUAGUCAUUCAUGAAGAGCAGAAACAACUUCAUCAACAAAAACAACUGAGAUUUUCUAGGGAUGCCCUGACUGGUGGGAACCCUGAUCAACUAGUCUGCUGUAGAAGCAUGUUGUUGACUGAAUAAAGAUGGCCUCUGUGCUCCUUUUAUCAGGGUACACUGCCACCUGGUGGAGGUUGGAUGUAUUACAGAGCUCAGUAGAUGGACCAACAGCUAAUCCAGCUCAUACAGCUCAUAUAAAGGAUUCAGAUCUCCAUCACUUUUUCAGUUUUCCUCUAUUUCAUCCUGAUGCUACAGCUGAUAAUUUUUUUUUUUUUAAUUCUCAUUAAUCUCACUCAGGGCCCGCCAUGACGUCCUGAAUUUAAACGACUGAAGCACCAGGAUGAAACAAACCUGAAAACAGUGAAGGAGGUCUGAAUACUGAGUUUUAUAAAUAUGAUCAGUAUCAGCCAAUCAUGUAGCAGAAACACAUGAUCAGGGCAUCCCUAAAAAUUCACCCACAAAUGGAACACAAGUCCUAGAUUUAAGAAUAACAGGGACGUGUUCAGGAAUGAUAAGAGGACGAGUGGAAUAUAAAAUAUGAAACAAAAACAUAAGACCUGAAGCUACAUCAACUGUAGAAAUGUGUCUGGACUAAAUAUAAGACAAUAACACGGUGAGUAGGAGACAUCAAACAUCCAAUAAUACAUUCACCUUGUGCAAAAAUAUAUUGAAAUAAAGAUCUAGUAUGGCCCUGUUUCCCAUCAUUCAUUGCAUGUGUGCAAAAGCAGCAGAAAUACCUCUAUGGCACGUUAAUGAAAGCUUGAGGAGCAAUGACGGUGAAAUUCAGACAAAGCUUUAGAGAAACAGACAGGAAAUACUCAGCUUCAUCUUAGAGGGUUUAAAGUCAGCCGUUAACUACAGUAGACUUCUGAGGAGGGGUUGGCCUUCAGUGCAUUUAAUUAUCAUCAGAUAAACAUACAAAUCAUCAUCCUAUAAAGCCUAUGAAACAUUCCACCCUUGCCAUUAAAGACAAGGUCAUCCUAUAAAGCCUAUGAAACAUUCCACCCUUGACAUUAAAGACGAGGUCAUUCUAUAAAGCCUAUGAAACAUUCCACCCUUGACAUUAAAGACGAGGUCAUUCUAUAAAGCCUAUGAAACAUUCCAACCUUGACUUUAAAAGAUGAGGUCAUCCUAUAAAGUCUAUGAAACAUUCCACCCUUGCCAUUAAAGACGAGGUCAUCCUAUAAAGCCUAUGAAACAUUCCACCCUUGCCAUUAAAGACAAGGUCAUCCUAUAAAGCCUAUGAAACAUUCCACCCUUGACAUUAAAGACGAGUUCAUCCUAUAAAGCCUAUGAAACAUUCCAACCUUGACUUUAAAAGAUGAGGUCAUCCUAUAAAGUCUAUAAAACAUUCCAACCUUGACUUUUAAAGAUGAGGUCAUCCUAUAAAACCUAUGAAACAUUCCACGCUUGACAUUAAAGACGAGGUCAUCCUAUAAAACCUAUGAAACAUUCCAACCUUGACUUUAAAAGAUGAGGUCAUCCUCUAAAGUCUAUGAAACAUUCGACCCUUGACAUUAAAGACGAGGUCAUCCUAAAAAACCCAUAAAGCAUUCCAACCUUGACUUUAAAAGAUGAGGUCAUCCUAUAAAACCUAUGAAACAUUCCAACCUUGACUUUAAAAGAUGAGGUCAUCCUAUAAAGUCUAUGAAACAUUCCAACCUUGACUUUAAAAGAUGAGGUCAUC